AAAGACUACUAAAUAUAGGGCUGCUAACCACUAUAAUAUGUUACACACAUUAGUCUUUU
rnacentral:tRNA from 1 species